rnacentral:rRNA from 1 species
ACUGCCCGAUGGAGGGGGAUAACCACUGGAAACGGUGGCUAAUACCGCAUAACGUCUACGGACCAAAGAGGGGGACCUUCGGGCCUCUUGCCAUCGGAUGUGCCCAGAUGGGAUUAGCUAGUAGGUGGGGUAACGGCUCACCUAGGCGACGAUCCCUAGCUGGUCUGAGAGGAUGACCAGCCACACUGGAACUGAGACACGGUCCAGACUCCUACGGGAGGCAGCAGUGGGGAAUAUUGCACAAUGGGCGCAAGCCUGAUGCAGCCAUGCCGCGUGUGUGAAGAAGGCCUUCGGGUUGUAAAGCACUUUCAGCGAGGAGGAAGGCCAAUAGCUUAAUACGCUGUUGGAUUGACGUUACUCGCAGAAGAAGCACCGGCUAACUCCGUGCCAGCAGCCGCGGUAAUACGGAGGGUGCAAGCGUUAAUCGGAAUUACUGGGCGUAAAGCGCACGCAGGCGGUUUGUUAAGUCAGAUGUGAAAUCCCCGCGCUUAACGUGGGAACUGCAUUUGAAACUGGCAAGCUAGAGUCUCGUAGAGGGGGGUAGAAUUCCAGGUGUAGCGGUGAAAUGCGUAGAGAUCU